rnacentral:rRNA from 1 species
AUACGGAGGGUGCAAGCGUUAUCCGGAAUCAUUGGGUUUAAAGGUUCCGCAGGCGGAUUAAUAAGUCAGUGGUGAAAUCCUCUCGCUCAACGAGAGAACUGCCAUUGAAACUGUUAGUCUUGAAUUCGGUCGAAGUAGGCGGAAUGUGUCAUGUAGCGGUGAAAUGCAUAGAUAUGACACGGAACACCGAUAGCGAAGGCAGCUUACUAGACCUGGAUUGACGCUCAUGGACGAAAGCGUGGGGAGCGAACAGGAUUAGAAACCCCAGUAGUCC